GUAGGUGGCAAGCGUUGUCCGGGAAUUAUUGGGGCGUAAAGCGCGCGCAGGCGGUUCUUUAAGUCUGAUGUGAAAGCCCACGGGCUCAACCGUGGAGGGUCAUUGGAAACUGGAGAACUUGAGUACAGAAGAGGAAAGCGGAAUUCCACGUGUAGCGGUGAAAUGCGUAGAGAUGUGGAGGAACACCAGUGGCGAAGGCGGCUUUCUGGUCUGUAACUGACGCUGAGGCGCGAAAGCGUGGGGAGCAAACAGGAUUAGAUACCCUGGUAGUCCACGCCGUAAACGAUGAGUGCUAAGUGUUAGGGGGGUUUCCGCCCCUUAGUGCUGCAGCUAACGCAUUAAGCACUCCGCCUGGGGAGUACGGCCGCAAAGGCUGA
rnacentral:rRNA from 1 species